GGCCAUGCAGUAGAAGUCACUACAAUGGUUGAAGUAGUUGUUCACGAGGGCUAUGUAGUAGAAAUCACUACAGUGACCAUCCCAGACUUCUAGUCUAACUAUUAAAUUUUAAAAAUUAUGUGAACCCCACACUGCAGACACACUGCACAUAUGCGAUUAAAACUGCACCCUAACAUAAAAAUGGAAGUAAAAAUCAUUAACCAUUACAUGAGGAAAUGGGCCGCGCCUAGACAUGGGCUUUUUGAUCAUAUAACAGUGCAGAAGGAAAAGGCUUGUUUGGCCAUGUAAACGUGCCAUCAGUAGUCACCAAGAAGCAGCUUUGAUUUGGUGCAUGCGUUCUCCUCCUCUCUCGUCCAUCAGCCAGCGGCCAUUUUCGUUAAAACCUGUUUUUGAUCGCUGUAUCAUAUAGAUAUAGAAGCACAUACACAUAUAUACACAGAUGGGUUGUACUGUAAGAGAGAAGCAUCUCCGCACGAACAGGAGGAGCCGAUCCUUGAAACCCGAUUCUGAAGCCUGCUGUCAUCUCGAUAGAGCAGCAAUCUCCAAAUCAAUACUUGAAGCGGGUCUCAAACCCCUGAAUUACCAUCUGGGCCAGACCGAUUCGACCCAGAACCCCAAUCUUGCUGCCAAUGCUAGCCCAAAUCCUAAUUUCAAUGAUCAUGGAUGGGGUUACUGCACUGAAGAACAAUUAGAGGAAAUCCUAUUGAAAAACCUUGAAUUUUUGUAUAAUGAAGCCAUAUCUAAGCUUAUGGCAUUGGGUUAUGAUGAGGAUAUUGUGUUGAAGGCCAUAUUGCGUAAUGGGCAUUGCUACGGUGGCAUGGAUGUGCUGACCAAUAUUCUCCAUAACUCAUUGGCUUAUCUGAAUAGUAGUCAUGGUGGUGGUGGUGGUGGCCGUGAGAGUUCACAGGAAUCUGAACCCCUUUUUGCUGAUUUGAGGCAGUUAGAGGAGUACUCGCUGGCAGGUAUGGUGCGUUUGUUGCAACAAGUUAGACCCCAUCUGAGUAAAGGUGAUGCAAUGUGGUGCCUUCUAAUGAGUGAUCUCCAUGUGGGCCGUGCGAGUACUAUGGAAAUUCCUGCGCCUGGAAAUGGUAAUAGAAGUAGUACUCUAUCACAGAGCAAUGGUGAGAGUGUUGAAGAUGACCAGGUAGCUAUUACCGCACCUCCCCUUUGUCGGUUUCACGGUGGGUGGGGGUUUGGAAAUGGGGGCAGCUCAGACUUCUCUACUAAUGAUUUUUUCUCAUAUAGUGCGGAGAUGACUUUGCAAAGGGAUAUCGAGUGUCCGGAGAGGUUCAAUCUUUCCCCUUCCAUGAAGUCUUUGUUGAAAAGGAAUGUUGCAAUGUUCGCUGCUGGUUUUCGGGCAAAUUCAAAACACAUGAUGCAAACUCAGGCUUGUAUUAGUGCUUUAGCUGGUGGGAACACUAAUCAAGUUGUGCCAGGGGGCGAAAUUCCUCUUGAGAAGAAUGUCAAUUCAAAAUAUUUGAAAAGCCAAGAUGGGGUCAAUUUGGUAAUGAGUAAGUUUCGUGAUUUGAAUCUUGAAGAGAAUAUGGAGCAUUCUGGAGAAGAACAGAAGGAUGAGAUCCUAGUAACCCUGCUGCAUCAGGUUAAGGAACUGGAGAGGCAAGUGAAAGAAAGGAAGGAGUGGGCCCACCAGAAGGCAAUGCAGGCUGCAAGAAAGCUUAGUAAUGAUUUGACAGAGCUUAAAAUGCUGAGGAUGGAGAGAGAAGAGACACAGAGAUUGAAGAAGGGAAAACAAACCUUGGAGGACUCGACCAUGAAGAGGCUUACAGAGAUGGAAAAUGCUCUGAGGAAGGCCAGCGGCCAGGUAGACCGGGCAAAUGCGGCUGUACGGCAGCUUGAAACAGAGAAUGCCGAAAUCAGGGCAGAGAUGGAAGCUUCUAAGUUAAGUGAAUCAGAGUCUGUUACAACACGUUUAGAGGUGGAAAAGAGGGAGAAGAAGAGUCAAAAGAGGCUCAUGGCCUGGGACAAACAGAAAAGCAAGUUGCAGGAUGAGAUUGCAGAUGAGAUAGAUAAAAUCAAGGAGUUGCAACGAUGCUUGACGAUGGUGGAGCGGGCUCAAAAAGAAUAUGAGGGAAAGUGGAAGAAGGAAGUGAAGGCAAAAGAGCUGGCCUCGGCCCAAGUGGAGGAGGAAAGACGCUCCAAGGAAGCAGCUGAGGCUAGUAAUAAAAGAAGGCUUGAGGCUCUGCGCCUGAAGAUAGAGAUAGACUUUCAGUGCCAUAAGGACGAUCUCCAAAGACUUGAGCAAGAACUUUUACGUCUGAAAUCAGCUGCGCUGUCCACUGAGUUGAAUCAUCAAUCAAAUACUUUGCCCUCAGGAAAUUCUGAUGGUGCAAAGCCCAAAGGAGAAACAAUUUCUAAUUUGCUUCAUGAACUAGAUGAUCUAGAGGACUCUUCUGAUAAAGAAGGCAACUGUGAGAGGCAAUGCUUUAUUUGCAAGAAAGAUGAAGUUUCUGUAGUUUUUCUGCCCUGUGCCCACCAAGUUAUGUGUGCCAGUUGCAGUGAGAAUUACGGGAAGAAGGGUAAAGCUACUUGUCCAUGCUGCCGAGUUCCAAUUGAACAGAGAAUCCAUGUUUUUGGAGCAAGUUCAUAGUUCAAUUCUGGUUUAAGUUUUUUCUAAUGCCUUCUGGGAGAAAUCUUCAGCCAAAUAAGCAGAGUGCUUAUGACUUAUACAAUGCCAAAUAUCAGAUGACUCAUACAAUGGCAGUGAGGAUUUACUCAUCACAUGGAAUGUGAGUACCAACAGAUACUGUGACUCACAAAGAAAUUUGUUCUAUUAGUUGAGCAGGUUUUUAUGUAGGAGCAAAUGGUUUGAAUCUUCAAACCGAGUUCACGAGUUCAAUUCUCACGGGGAGCAAUAUCAUUGUGCGCAUGGGAUUGACGAUCCGAGUUUAGAUCAUUUAUUAAAUGUCUGAAUGUCCGAAGGGUAAAACUUCUAUGAUAUCGUUUUCGGUUACUAAAAAUAAAAAUGGGGAGCAAGUAGUGAGAAUAUGGUGCCACGUGGAAAAGAGGGUCAGGGGACACAUGGCAAAAGGUGAGCUUCAUGUGUGAGAAGCUGAGAGGGCACGAGACACUGAAGCAGUUGCAAUACAGCUGUUUGAGAACAGGACAGUAUCGUAUGGGGAUGGUCAUAUACAUGUAUAUUAGGUUAACAAUAAGCUAGCCUUUCCAUACUUCCCUUUCUUCGAUGUCAAGUAAGUUUAUUAUUACAGGCAGCUCUAUUGCCCGUGAACCAUGGAGACUCACCACUCAAGCUGUACCUUUUUAAUGCAGAGCCAUCUUGCGGUUGCACCGCUUGAUCAAUUACAGUCAAUAGCCGGUGCUCUUG